rnacentral:lncRNA from 1 species
GAAAAAGAAAAAGAAAAAAUAAAACUUACCCACUGUUAGUUGGCUCAGAGGUAUCUGGCACUGAACUCGGUAGGACGGAUUACGAUCUGAUCCCCCACAACUACAGUUGGGUCCAAUAAAAGGGUUUACACAUAUUUAUGUGCCAGAAACCCCAUGCUCAGAUCAUAAUCACUAACAUGCCACUCUACUACGAAGCAUGUACGAAUAACGGGCUUAAUGUGAUUGCGCCUGAAUGAAAAGGACACAAAAAGAGAUGAAGAGGC